UGGGCAACCUGCCCUCAGCUCUGGGAUAACUCCAAGAAAUUGGGGCUAAUACCGGAUAUGACUGCUGACCGCAUGGUCUGGUGGUGGAAAAGAUUUUAUCGGCUGGGGAUGGGCCCGCGGCCUAUCAGCUUGUUGGGUGGGGUAGUGGCCUACCAAGGCGACGACGGGUAGCCGGCCUGAGAGGGUGACCGGCCACACUGGGACUGAGACACGGCCCAGACCUCCGUACGGGA
rnacentral:rRNA from 1 species